UGUUCCCAGAUGAGAAUAAAAAGAUUUAAAAUCAGAAUAUGUGAAAACAGGUAGAACCCUUUCCAUCUUCAAAGAAUGCAAUUUGUUGUAUUCUUUUAAUACCAUAAAGCUUUACAAUACGAUUCUAAAACUAUACAGUGAUCUAUGUAAUCUCUAAUUUUAAGUAGCCUUGAGAAACAAAGAAAAUUGAGGUCUGUUAUUUUUCUCUUUUCAGUACAGAGAACGGUAGAUGAAGACUUUGUUGUGCUUCUACUUGUUUCAGUUACAAAAGAUAUUGUAAAGAUUCUGUUACAUCCCUGUAAACCUCCUUGGGAACUCCAAAUGGAAAACACUAAUCUUUUCAUGGAAGUCAUCUGGAACGUCAAUUCACCUCUGUAGAGCAACAUUUAUACCAACUUGAAGAAGAUGAAGCAAAGGGGAGAGAGAGAACCUGGUCAGAUAUUUAAAACCAGGACUUGUACUUUAAAUCCCACAUGUUAAAAAUGAGAAGAAAUAUUUGUUUUUCUGACUCUGUCUCCCUGACUCUGAACACAUAACUGUUAUGAACUCAGCUUUCUGGACUCUGUGACUGCUCCUAGACUGGGGUCACUUGGCUAGCAGUGCUGCACUCAGCAGCUGCACAACAAGUUCACCAGGCAGCCCUCUCUAGCAGUGUUUAUUAUACUUGUGUUUGCAGCAUGUCUUGCUGCGUAAUGCACACAGCCUCAUUGCUGGUAGAUUCUGUGUAGCUUGCCUGUUUUAGUGAGUUCAUUAAAAAUGUCGUUAUCUAAUUUUUCUAGGAAAACUAAGGGAAAAAAACCUGCUUUUCUGAAACUGUACAUCUGAUUGUAUAGAUGCUCCCCUGCUGCUGGCAAAAACUCCAGGAAAUAUGGGACAAUCCCUGGAAGAGAACAAGAGGUGAUUGAAUGCGCAGCCAUGCAGCUAACACACUGAGUGGGCAUUCCAGCAGUCUGGAUAAAAGUUAUUUAUGUUGUGACUACAUCUAAAAGGGCCUGAGCACUUUCCAAAUACAAGAGAAAAAACAAUCAUUGCACCCAAGAACUAGAAUAUAAGAAAACAGGCGUGUAUUGAAGGCUAUUUGAGGACAGAGCAAAGAAAAUAGGUGACGAACUUGAAGACAGAUAUAAUAAAGUUUCUGAAGGUGGUUGGUUGGUUUAAUAUCAAUACUAUUGAGUCAUACUAGUACCAAUACUAAUAAUCCAAGCUCUCAUAUCUUUUACAGGUAUCUUCCCUAUUUAUCUCGUCUGGAAACCCUAGUUCCACUAAUAAAAUCCCUUAUGCUCUUCCUUUCACCAUGUAAAUAAUCUUUUCAGUCAAAAGACGUAAACUAAAUAAUAUGUCCCUGAGCAAUUAACAGAUGAUUGUAAUUCGGGGGGGGGGGGGAUUGGGUAAUUUGCAUGUAUGCAGAAUUUGCCAGUGAAUAAAUCUUGCUGAGCAGAAGCGUGUCCCCUGAUCUCAAUCCUAAUGACUGGAGACAAUCUUCAAAAUAAGAGGAUAAACUGAUGCUGUUAUAGCAGUGUGAUGUUGUAGAAAUGCUGAGAAAUUUGAAAUUGUUUGUUUUGCCUGGUGCUCUAGGGAUUGCAGAACAAUACUGUCUUCAAGUGUUCAGCAAAAUCAAAAUGUACCAAUUAAAAUACAAUUUGUGAUAGGGAGUGGAGAAACAAAAGCCUAAUAUAAUUUAUUGGACUGCCUGGUGAGAUACAUUCUAGCCAAAGUCUGUAAGAAAUUCCAAUGAUGUCCUUUCUAACAGCUUAGGAAGCAGCCUCGGAGACAUUUUUGGUCAGGGCUGGACUGUCUGGAUAAAUCCUAGGAUGAGAUUCUUGCUUUUCUAACUCUGGACAGCACUGUGAAAGGGCAGUUGACCUACUUUAGUAGGUGGAGGUGGUAUAGUCACACCCCUAUUCUUCAAAGCAUAGCCCUAAAGGUCAUUCCAGACCUUUCCUUCGUUGUCAAGAGUUUCAGGUGAUUUAAGAGCUUUGACCAUUAGUAAAGAGUUGCUUACAGAUUUUGAAGGCAACAAAUUUGGAUUAAACUUCCUAAAUCCUGUCAAUCUCUGUUUUUUUACCACAGUCUGGAAUAUGGCUACAGAAUGUCUCUGUGUUGGACUUACUUCUGUAUCAGGUUUCUUGCACUUCUCUUUAUGGUUUAAUGAGGAAGAAAGUGAGUAAAAUUCCUAUCAGAAACAAAAUCACCGAUGGGUUGAAGAAGGCACAAUCUUGUAGUCUGAACAGGGCUGAAAGAUGGAAGCUGAAAAAAAAGACAGCUUAACGGAGAUGGGAGGAACUAGUGUGUUGGAAAGGAAGAGCUGUACUUGGAAGGAGCUGAAAAUCAUAUUUCUUUGGGGCUUGUUUGCAUAGGUUUUAGGGGAAAGCCAGAGAAGGUUGAAUGAUAAGACUGGAAUAUAUAAAUUUGGGGUGUCUGAUUUAUUUCCUCAGCCUUUUCUGAGAUAGGUAUAGCAUCCAAAAUAUUGCUGAAGUUAAUUUGUUGCAUGGCAUAUAAAUCUUAUUAUUUAGGCAAAAGAAUGAGAAAAUAGGAAACCAAAAUGACAUGGAUUUUGAGAGUAGAAUUUAUGCUGUGGUUCAUUUCUUGUAUUUAUCCCUUUUAAUGUUCUUCUCUCAUAAUAGGGCAUCAUCUCCUGCCUAAGAAAGAGAAGCCUAGGUCAGUCAAAGUUUUGUAGAGCAACAUUAAGCAAUAUAAAUUUAAUUUAAAUCUGCUUUCACAGUCAAAA